rnacentral:rRNA from 1 species
UUCCCAGACUCCUACGGGAGGCAGCAGUGGGGAAUAUUGCACAAUGGGGGAAACCCUGAUGCAGCGACGCCGCGUGAGUGAGGAAGUAUUUCGGUAUGUAAAGCUCUAUCAGCAGGGAAGAAAAUGACGGUACCUGACUAAGAAGCCCCGGCUAACUACGUGCCAGCAGCCGCGGUAAUACGGGGGAUGCGAGCGUUAUCCGGAUUUAUUGGGUUUAAAGGGUGCGUAGGCGGCGCUUCAGGUCAGCGGUGAAAUACCGGGGCUCAACCCCGGGGCUGCCGUUGAAACCGGAGCGCUAGAAUUCCGAUGCCGUCGGAGGAAUGUGUGGUGUAGCGGUGAAAUGCAUAGAUAUCACACAGAACACCGAUUGCGAAGGCAUCUGACGAAGCGGAGAUUGACGCUGAUGCACGAAAGCGUGGGUAUCGAACAGGAUUAGAUACCCCUGUAG